CUGUCUCUUGCUUCAACAGUGUUUGGAUCAAACAG
rfam:Myotis brandtii contig313776, whole genome shotgun sequence.